UACGAGGGGGGCGAGCGUUGUCCGGAAUUAUUGGGCGUAAAGAGCUCGUAGGCGGUCUGUCGCGUCGGCUGUGAAAACUCGGGGCUCAACUCCGAGCUUGCAGUCGAUACGGGCAGGCUAGAGUUCGGCAGGGGAGACUGGAAUUCCUGGUGUAGCGGUGAAAUGCGCAGAUAUCAGGAGGAACACCGGUGGCGAAGGCGGGUCUCUGGGCCGAUACUGACGCUGAGGAGCGAAAGCGUGGGGAGCGAACAGG
rnacentral:rRNA from 1 species